rnacentral:rRNA from 1 species
AUUGAACGCUGGCGGAAUGCUUUACACAUGCAAGUCGAACGGCAGCACGGGUGCUUGCACCUGGUGGCGAGUGGCGAACGGGUGAGUAACAUAUCGGAACGUACCCAGUAAUGGGGAGUGAACUAGUCGAAAGAUUAGCUAAUACCGCAUACGCCCUGAGGGGGAAAGCGGGGAUCGUAAGACCUCGCGUUAUUGGAGCGGCCGAUAUCUGAUUAGCUAGUUGGUGGGGUAAAGGCCUACCAAGGCGACGAUCAGUAGCUGGUCUGAGAGGACGACCAGCCACACUGGAACUGAGACACGGUCCAGACUCCUACGGGAGGCAGCAGUGGGGAAUUUUGGACAAUGGGCGCAAGCCUGAUCCAGCCAUUCCGCGUGAGUGAAGAAGGCCUCGGGUUGUAAAGCUCUUUCGCAAGGGAAGAAACGAUACGAGCGGAUAACUCGUGUUAAUGACGGUACCUUGAUAAGAAGCACCGGCUAACUACGUGCCAGCAGCCGCGGUAAUACGUAGGGUGCGAGCGUUAAUCGGAAUUACUGGGCGUAAAGCGUGCGCAGGCGGUUUUGUAAGUCAGAUGUGAAAUCCCGGCGUCAACCUGGGAACUGCGUUUGAAACUACAAGGCUAGAGUAUAGGAGAGGGGGGUGAAAUUCCACGUGUCAGCAGUGAAAUGCGUAGAGAAUG